rnacentral:lncRNA from 1 species
ACGACACAGAGCUAAUGGUGGCUCUAGAACUUAAACUCUGAAUCAAAAUCCCUUCUGUAUUGCUCUAAAUUUUUUGCACAAAGACAGGGACUGAGGGCUGAUUUUCACUACAUCUCCUCCAUAUGCUGCAGGUCUUUGAUCUCACAUUUAGUGUGCCAAGUGUCUUCUCUUAUAGGAAAUUCCUUUGAAUCUCUCAGAUUUUUCAAAUAAAUGAGAACAUUGUGAAAAUAAAUACCAUCUUCUCAGUAUUAGCAUAUCCCCAGAUUAUCAGCCU